AGAAAGGGAAGAUGUGUGGGGAAGAGGUGUGAGGAAGUGGUUAUUUGUGUAAAGGGAAGAAGAUGAGCAGAGCAGAAACGGGGCCAAAGAAAGACGACCCAAGAAGUCAAGAAGGACCAGGAGAAUGAAGUGUCAGGAAGCUGUGGGAGAAUAGAGAAGUAAAGAGGCUGGGGUCAAAAGCCACAGGAGACUUCUGCUGAGAAGAAAGAGGGGAAAAUGGAGAGGCUGAAGACACAGAGGAGAGGAGCUGGCCUGAGGUGGCUGAAGGUAUAGCAUCCCAGAAGAGAGGCUGGACUGGAAAGCAGGAGGGACACCCCACCAGCAGAAGGAGGUAAGGAGGCCUGUGGGUCAUAUGCAUUUCUUCCAAGUAGAAAUUUAAGUAGACCAGCCCCAGUGGUCUCUAUUUUCUCAGUAACAUAAGGGGUGAGGUGGACUGCUGAGAGUCAGAGAUGAGACUGUGCGUAGGGGAUUUGAGGCCAGUGGUGUUAUGUUUUAGGCUCGCCAAUGACUGAUGGAUGAGAGAAGAAGUUGAACAAGAACAAGAACAGAAUGGCUCAGCAGGCUGGUGGUGGAGAUAGUCAGUCAGGAUCCUGACAGGAAGCAAACAGCACAUUCAAGUGGGAUAAUUGAGGAGAGUUUGGGGAAUGUGAANGUGAGCAGGGUUAAGGGAAAUGCAUUAAGAAUGUGAAGCACCCCCAGUUCCCGUCAUGGUUCAGUGGUUAACGAAUCUGACUAGGAAGCAUGAGGUUGCGGGUUUGAUCCCUGGCCUUGCUCAGUGGGUUAAGGAUCCGGUGUUGCCAUGAGCUGUGGUGUAGGCCGGUGGCUACAGCUCCAAUUGGACGACUAGCCUAAGAACGUCCAUAUGCUGCAAGAGCUGCCCAAGAAAUGGCAAAAAGACAAAAAAAGAAAAAAAAGAAUGUGAAGCACCCAAGGACUAGCGAGAGUGAGGAAACUUUACCACACCUAGGUCUCAAGAGGCAAGAGGAGGAACAGAUUCCAGACCUCAGAGAAAAAGGAUAUCCCUUAGAGGAGAGGACUGUCACUGGAGCCCAUAGGAUGCAGGUGUUGAAGUUACCUGCCAGCCAGGCAGCCUUCUGUCUCCAGGUUCUGGGGUCCCUCAUCAGUGGGAGUGGAUAGCAGGCUUAAACUCACAGGACACAGUGGAGGGCAAGCUAACUAGGUGGACCGCAGAGACCCACAGGUGUCCUGCCUUUAAGCACUGAGACCUUGGCUGCUAGGUAAUCGCCUCAAGAUCCACCCAGGGAUUUCCCAUCUAACUUAAUGGGACAAAAUUUAGGAAUAAAGAGAACAGACCCUCACA
rnacentral:lncRNA from 1 species